UACAAUUUUCAAAUACAUUCAUCAUUCAUUAUUCUAAACUUAGAUAAUACACUUUGAUUAAAAACUUGCUAUUAGUCCAUAAAUCAAACACAACAGUCCGAUCACCAACCACCGUCUUUAGGAUGAAGAUGUGUUAUGAAGCCCGUUUUUCGCAUUGGGGGAGGAUCAGGGAGGGAUUUCUCAUGAUGGCGGACAGCAGGUAGUAUGAGAACGGAGCACAGGAACAGUAGAACAAAACGAGAGCAACAGAGAAGUGAUGAAGAAAAUAUCCAAGCUAACAGUGUAUUUUAAAGCUUAUAUUGGACAUGGAACAGAACCAAUAAUAUUCUUCUCUUUCUCAAAACGUUAACCUUUCUAACAGCAGCUUUACUGUCCCGCCAGAACCUGGAGCCUUGUCUGAUCUGGUGCCUGAGGAGUCAGAGGUGGUGGAAGCACAAUCUUCCCUAGUCGCAACUAUGACUGGAUAAUUUGUGUAGUACUGAGCCUUUGAUUUGGGCAAAAACUGAUGUGGGUUUACUGGGCUGAGCAAGAAGCAGGGAACUGACAAAAUAUAAAAGUUAAUUUUAAAGCAUCGAAACAUGUUUACAAAAAAAAUCCAGAUCGUGCUUUGAAAGCCAGCUCGCAAGUGGUGUGACUGAAAACACGCAAAAGAAUGUUUGAAAGAGCAAGAAAACAACGAAAGU